CCUACGGGUGGCAGCAGUGAGGAAUAUUGGUCAAUGGGCGGAAGCCUGAACCAGCCAAGUAGCGUGCGGGAUGAAGGCCCUACGGGUCGUAAACCGCUUUUGCACGGGGAUAACACCCUCCACUUGUGGAGGUCUGCAGGUACCGUGCGAAUAAGGGCCGGCUAAUGCCGUGCCAGCAGCCGCGGUAAUACGGAAGGCCCGAGCGUUAUCCGGAUUUAUUGGGUUUAAAGGGUGCGCAGGGGGAGGUGCAAGUCAGCGGUCAAAUUGCGGGGCUCAACCCCGUAGUGCCGUUGAAACUGGAUGCCUUGAGUGCGCGAGAAGUGUGCGGAAUGCGUGGUGUAGCGGUGAAAUGCAUAGAUAUCACGCAGAACUCCGAUUGCGAAGGCAGCAUACCGGCGCGCAACUGACGCUCAUGCACGAAAGCGUGGGUAUCGAACAGGAUUAGAUACCCUGGUAGUC
rnacentral:rRNA from 1 species